UAAGCAGGCCACGACUGCGGACGGCAUCAGUCCCACGAGUACCUCCACUGGACAACAUGAGGAUCAUAACGGUGAUUUUCUUGAUCGUGCUGGCGCUGUCUCUUGUGAUGGCGAUGCCGGCGGGACCAGACUCUGACCCGACGGACGGCGACGAAGACACCAGGUCGAACCUGUUCCUGCUCAAGAAGAAACUGCUGUUAAAGAAGAAGCUGCUGCUGCUUGGCUGAAGUACACAGCUUCGUCAUCAACUUCGUAUCAGCGCAGGUGUAGACUACACUCAUCAUCGGCUAUCCAAACACAAUCAUCUCCUUCUGUACAUAUCAUUUUUCUUUGUGUAUAUACUAUGUUUCAGAUUGUAAAUAAAUGUUUGUUGUACUAAAUUA